rnacentral:rRNA from 1 species
CAGUAGCCGCGGGAAUACGAAGGGGGCUAGCGUUGUUCGGAUUUACUGGGCGUAAAGGGCGCGUAGGCGGAUUUGUAGGUCAGGGGUGAAAUCCCGAGGCUCAACCUCGGAACUGCCUUUGAUACUGUGGAUCUUGAGUCCGGGAGAGGUGAGUGGAACUGCGAGUGUAGAGGUGAAAUUCGUAGAUAUUCGCAAGAACACCAGUGGCGAAGGCGGCUCACUGGCCCGGAACUGACGCUGAGGCGCGAAAGCGUGGGGAGCAAACAGGAUUAGAUACCCCUGUAGUCCCUGUCUCUUAUAC